UCCCCUCCCGAAUUCCUUGCGGUGAGCUUCUCUCCUCUAUCUUUCCCCGGCGACCACUGAAGUCGAUUUUGGCGAGGAUCCCUCUUGCCUCCCCUUGGAUAGGGUAUUUCUCCCUCUAGAUCUGGCGUGUAGGCCAUCAGAGAGACGAUAGCAGGGAUUGCUGCCAUGGCCAAGUUUGUUUUCUACAGUCCUAAACUUCCAACGAGAGUCUCUUUCUUCCGUGCUGCAAAUGGAGGCUACUAGCGACAGGACCGCCAUGGGUAGGCCUGGGAAUUACAGGCGUGGAGGAUUUCUGGGCAAGCCACUCGUUCCUGGGCGUGCCUGUGCCACUGCCGAUGUGGAUUUAGCCUUGCUGAAAUUACUGAGCUCUAUCCCCCAGGUAAUUAGAGCAGCAUGACCAACCAUUGCCAAAUUCCUUCCUAAGUGGAGAAGUUCCCAAUCCCUAAGAUCAAGGAAUGAAGAUAAGCUUUUCCACUUUGUUGUAUCAAGUAAUUUAACUUCCCAGUUCACUCUAAAUUAUUGUGUAUUGGCAACCUGAAUUAUCUAUUUUACAAAAAAGCAUAUAUACACUUACACUUCUGUAGUUCUUUGAGAUCAAUGGAGCAAGAAGGGCAUGCAGUAUUGUCUUCUGUCGCUUGGAAAUACUAAUUGAAAAAAGAUAUGCAGCAUUAGUAAUAUCCUUCUCAUAUGUGGUCCGAGACUCCGAGGGAGACGCCCAGUAAUGAGUGCAGUGGUCCUUGUAGAUAGGUUUUUCAUGACUUCAACAUGCGCCUUCCAUCUCAUUACUAUGCGUUACCCCAAAAUCCUAUGAGUUCAUAUACGAGUUUUUAAUCUCUGCAAGUAAAUUUUGAUAUUGUGUAAGGUCUGUAUGAUUAGAAUCCCAUGGGAAACUGUGUAAUCUCUUGUAAGACAAUAUGCAUGAGUUUAGACUCAUAUACCUAACCUGCAUAAUUGCUGGAAAUAUUUUGAACAAGUUAUAUCUCAUUUUUAUCUUACUUAGUUUAGUUUUGCGGCGAGGCAAAUCCUACAUGACACUCAUAGUCGACUGGACACACCAUGUCGUGCACUGGCCCAACAUGGUCAGAGAUGAGACCGAACGGUCGAAGUGGAGCCGGAGACGAUGUGGCCAAAUCGUACUUUAGUGCAUUAUAUUGUCUCUUGGCAGUCUUAGUUUCCCCUCAGUAAAUGAUAUAUGGUGUUUAUGUUGAAUACUGUUUCAUUGUUUCGAGGCACACCCGUUAGAACAAAUUCUGUAAUUUAGUAAUGUUUAGGGCAUUAUGGUUGUGAGUAGUUAUCUCUUAGUUUAACGAAUACGUGUACUUUUGCCUUGUUGCCACCUGCGAAAUGAAAUAUUGCAGUUUAACACUUCUGUCAAAUUUUGCUUAGUAGUUCCCCUGUAGUUAUUUGAUUCUUAUUUGACCUGCAUCAUUGCAAGUAUUUAUUCUUAACAAUUUUCCUUUUUUGUCCGUUCAAUGGGAAGCCAGAAGAUGUUCUAUAUCCAAAAACAAUUGGACAAGGUAACACCAGUAAGCACAUCUACUUCAAGUUUUGUAUGAUGCUAUCUCACUUCUUUUAUACUCUUGGUGAUCAAAGGUAGUACCUUCAGCAGUGUUUGAGUAAAUGCUAUCAGUUUUGUCAAUAGUUGGAGAAGAUAUUAUCAUCAAGCGCGCGCACAGUCCUAUGCUAGGAAAGAGAACUGGGAUUGGAAUGGGAUGUCCCAAUUUCUUUGCCGUGGGGCCAUGGAAAUCUGAGUUCUUCCUCUUCUUUUGACACAUGAGACAUGCCUUGUUGAGCUCUUUUUUCAUGAACUGCAUCUUGGCCCCUCUGUGUGGCAAAGUAUUGUUUGGAAUCUGCUACAUUGUGGCCAUUUUGUGGCCACAUCAGAUGCUUCUCUUGAGAGGCUGGUGAUAAUUUUGGGUUGUCUCCUGAAAUCUGGUCAAAAACUUGCCUUCUCACAUGAAAAGGAAUACAUGAAGAUGUUCGCUGUUGAAAACCAUUUUUUAUUCGUCCCUAAA